rnacentral:rRNA from 1 species
AGCCUGAGAUCGGUAGCCGACCUGAGAGGGUGAUCGGCCACACUGGAACUGAGACACGGUCCAGACUCCUACGGGAGGCAGCAGUGGGGAAUAUUGGGCAAUGGGCGCAAGCCUGACCCAGCGACGCCGCGUGAGGGAAGACGGUCUUCGGAUUGUAAACCUCUGUUGCAGGGGAAGAAUAAAGUGACGGUACCCUGCGAGGAAGCCCCGGCAAACUACGUGCCAGCAGCCGCGGUAACACGUAGGGGGCGAGCGUUGUCCGGAAUUACUGGGCGUAAAGGGUGCGUAGGCUGCGAGACAAGUCGGGUGUAAAAGGCACGGGCUCAACCUGUGUAUGCACUCGAAACUGUUUUGCUGGAGGGGUAGAGAGGCAAGCGGAAUUCCCGGUGUAGCGGUGAAAUGCGUGGAUAUCGGGAAGAACACCAGUGGCGAAGGCGGCUUGCUAGCUACACCCUGACGCUGAGGCACGAAAGCCAGGGGAGCGAACCGGAUUAGAUACCCGGGUAGUCCUGGCAGUAAACGAUGAGUGCUAGGUGUGGGUGGGUCAAACCAUCUGUGCCGCAGCUAACGCAUUAAGCACUCCGCCUGGGGAGUACGGUCGCAAGAUUGAAACUCAAAGGAAUUGACGGGGGCCCGCACAAGCGGUGGAGCACGUGGUUUAAUUCGAUGCAAACCGAAGAACCUUACCUGGGCUUGACAUAUAGGUGGGUAUUGAUCUGAAGGUGAUAGACCAUAUUUUCGGAUAUGGAGCCUAAACAGGUGCUGCAUAGCUGUCGUCAGCUCGUGUCGUGAGAUGUUGGGUU